rnacentral:rRNA from 1 species
UACGUAGGGUGCGAGCGUUGUCCGGAAUUAUUGGGCGUAAAGAGCUCGUAGGCGGGUUGUUGCGUCGGCCGUGAAAACCUGCAGCUUAACUGUGGGCCUGCGGCCGAUACGGGCAGACUUGAGUUCGGUAGGGGAGACUGGAAUUCCUGGUGUAGCGGUGAAAUGCGCAGAUAUCAGGAGGAACACCGGUGGCGAAGGCGGGGCGCUGGGCCGAUACUGACGCUGAGGAGCGAAAGCGUGGGGAGCGAACAGG